UAGGGAAUCUUCCACAAUGGACGCAAGUCUGAUGGAGCAACGCCGCGUGAGUGAAGAAGGCUUUCGGGUCGUAAAACUCUGUUGUUGGAGAAGAAUGGUCGGCAGAGUAACUGUUGUCGGCGUGACGGUAUCCAACCAGAAAGCCACGGCUAACUACGUGCCAGCAGCCGCGGUAAUACGUAGGUGGCAAGCGUUAUCCGGAUUUAUUGGGCGUAAAGCGAGCGCAGGCGGUUUUUAAGGUCUGAUGUGAAAGCCCUCGGCU
rnacentral:rRNA from 1 species